rnacentral:misc_RNA from 1 species
GGCGAGGGGCAUUGAGGCAUUGAGGCGAUGCCUUUUGAAAGGAGCAAUAAUUUUUUUUUCUUUUUUUUUUCAAUUAGAUCCCUAAUUUACAUUAAAUCCACUGUUUUUGUGUUAAAAUUGGGGCUGGCUGAUGAGCUGUCUACAUGGGCUCUUUCAUUUGUGUAAAAAGUCCAUUUAUAUUGUCUUCAAACCAGCCCAUUUAAUCUUUAUUAUUGAAUCACUGUAAAAGAAAUGAUUUUAGCAAUUUUAACAUUGCAACAAGUGAGUUUGAAAUGUUUUAAUCAAUUUUCAAUUCUAAGUAAGUUUGGGAACAUUUUCCAUAUGUGGAGUGGUAAACUCAUGAUUUUACAAGUUGAAACAAAAUUUUUAUAAGGCUGGAUACAAGCACAUGGAAACCAUAAAGCUUGCCACCACUGCCAAACAUAGAGCUUGACUAGUUUAAUGUAAAAAAAAUACAAGUAAAUCAAGACCAUAACACAUGGAUAUGUCAAACUGCAACAACAUUUUGAAAUCACUUGCAAAUAAAAUCUUAGGCAUGCCGGAAUAAUUUCAAAUGAAAGCCCACAAACAACAAGAAACCUUUCUCCAUAGGAUUUUUUCGAUUAAUAUAAGCAACAGAAAGUUCAGGCAGACCGACGAUCUCCCCUUCCCCCACUCCAGAAUUGAUUUCACGAAGUUAUAUUCUAUUGAUAGGCCUUUCAACCAAUCAAGAGAGUUGGCAUCACUCCUCUUUUUAGUCUUUUACUUGCAAAAGUUCUUUUAUUUUCUUCAUUUCAUUUCAACGUGAGCAGCCAAAGGUGGAAAACCGAGAGAAACAAAUCAUUACUGAUUCCAUUCUAAUGCAUUCACUAUUUCUCCUUGUAUGUAAUUUCUACAAAUUAAGCAGGGCAAAAGAGGAAAGUCAUUCUAAAAAGGUGUCCGUCCACCCUCUCAUAUCAGAUCUUUCGGGGAAGAGCUCAGUUCAAAAGUAAAUCAACUGUUCUUGUUUAACCGAGAGAGAAAAAAAACGAAGAAAGUUCCGAGCAAUGGUAUGCCAUCAGAAUAAUACUUCACUCUAUGCAGACAAUAAAAAGAAUGCUUCACAUAUAAGAACUAAAUUGUCUGGUCUCAGUAAAAUAGGACGCAUGACCUGAGAUUGUAGGUGACCACCA